rnacentral:misc_RNA from 1 species
UAGGCAUUGGUGGAGGUACAAAGUGAGCUGUAGGGAACGGAACUCCACCAGGAAUAGAUGGUGUAUGCCAACUCUGAGAAACUGUUCCAGGGGAUAAAUGUAUCUUCCUUCUAAGAUGAGACCCUUGAACGUUAAGAGAUUUUUCUACCCCGGGCGAAACAUUUGUAGAACCAUUUUGUUCUUUAAAACAUAUCCCCUUUGAGUUUGCUUUGGCAGAAAAUUUGCCCUCGACAACAGCAGGUCCCAGAGAUGACGAAG